rnacentral:rRNA from 1 species
GACGAACGCUGGCGGCGUGCCUAAUACAUGCAAGUAGAACGCAGUUGCGAACGGGUGAGUAACGCGUAGGUAAAUGCCUCAUAGCGGGGGAUAACUAUUGGAAACGAUAGCUAAUAACGCAUACUGUGAGAUGGACCGGCGUUUUAUUAACUAGUGGGUGAGGUAAAGGCUCACCAAGGGGAAGAUACAUAGCCGACCUGAGAGGGUGAGCGGACAAACUGAGACGGAUACACGGCCCAGACUACUACGUGAGGCAGCGGUAGAAAAUCUUCGGCAAUAGACGAAAUUCUGGCCGAGCAACCCCGCGGUAGUGGAGAAGGUUUUCGGAUCGUAAAGCUCUGUUGUUAGAGAAGCGGUAACUAACCAGAAAGGGACGGCUAACUACGUGCCAGCAGCCGCGGUAAUUC